GUGUUGUAUGAAAGGGGAGAGGGUUAGCACUCCCCUUGACCAGGAUGGAAGAGGCCCUCAGGCCUGGCAGCAUGCAUAGGGUUUAAGGCAUUGCUACCUACUUACAUUGCUACCUACGUACAUU